rnacentral:rRNA from 1 species
UACGUAGGGGGCAAGCGUUGUCCGGAUUUACUGGGCGUAAAGAGCGUGUAGGCGGCCAAGCAGGUCCGUUGUGAAAACUGGAGGCUUAACCUCCAGACGUCGACGGAAACCGCGUGGCUAGAGUCCGGAAGAGGAGAGUGGAAUUCCAGGUGUAGCGGUGAAAUGCGUAGAUAUCUGGAGGAACACCGGUGGCGAAGGCGGCAUCCUGGACCAACACUGACACUGAGGAGCGAAGGCCAGGGGAGCAAACGGG